GUUGACUGUGGAGCUCAUUUACCUCGGGCUAAAUAUAGGUGCCUUCUCUGCAGCCGGUCGGUGACUCAGCGAGCCCCGGGAAAGCUCCUGGGCAGAGAAGACACGAGGCCCGGAGGCCUUGCUUUCCCCUGAGUGCUGGAGCUACAGGAAGGCUGAUGCAUGGGAGCAGAAAAUGAGGAUAUGUUUUGCAAGUCCUCCUGGGCUAGCUGAGUUCCUCGCUCCCCUCCCCAGACUCUCCGUUCAAAAGCCGUGAGAUUGCUGUUCCAGGCCCAGUCUUGUGCUAGCUUUCUCCCAAGGGCUUAAAGGGUGAGGAGAGCGUGAGGGGUGUGUGUCGGUGGGUGGGUGUUCAUCCCUCCCUGGCUGGGGCAGGGGGAGAGAAACAGACCAGGCAGUGUCUAUACCGUGGUCUGCCUUGGCCUCGGACUCCCACCCUGGCCACCGCCCACCUGCCAAGAAGCGCAGGGAGGGGGCUGCUGAUGCCCUGACCAUUCUCUACGAUGCUCUGUGCCCACGGAAACGGUGAGUGCUCCCUUCUUCCCGCCCCAGGCUCUUCAGGAAGCAAGCGCAGUCCUGGCCUUCUACAUUCAUCUCCAGAGGCUCUGCAGAAGCUGAGGAGUGAGGCAGUCCUUUGGAGAAUGACGGGCAGCUGUCUGAGCAGACUGGUGGGAUGGGAAGAGGCGGGACCAGGCACCAGGAGAGGUUUCUGCCAGGCGUUUGCUGUGUGACCUUGAGCAAGUCCAUUUUCCUCUCUGGUCUCCAGUUUCUCCUCUGUUUAUUCACCUAUGUAAUCUCUUCAACAAAUAGGUAGUAAAUGCAUACCGGAUCUGUGCUUUCCAUGUUAGACACGGGAAAAUAACCAAGAUGAAGGAUUUCAAAAGUCCAGGGAGUCUCCACUGCUCUCCCAAUCGAACACUGGCACUGUUUCUCCAUCCCCUAACUCUGCAAUGACCUUGUAACUUGCUUUGACUAACAGGAUGCUACAAAAGUGACCAGUGACUGUCGAUCUCGCCCUCUCAGAGCCCAGCUGCCACUUUGGGGAGGCCUAAGCUAGCCCGCUGGAGUGGUCACAUGGGAAGGAAAUGGGGUGCCCACACCAAAAGCCUCAGGCAGCCACCAGUCACGUGCGUGAGGCAGGUGGAACCCCCAGCCCCCAGCCCCCAGCCCCCAGCAGACUGACUGCAAACCACCGGCAGCAGAGACAAGCCAUCGCAGCCCGACCUUGCCCAACUUGUCAACCCAGAGAACUGCGAGGCAUUGAAGCAUUCUAGUUUGAAGCCACUGUUCCAGAGUGUGUGUUAUGGAGCAAAAGAUAAUCAAGUUCAACCAGGUGAGGCAGACAUUGUUACCUUCAUUUACCCUUGACAGAGGAAAGCACUGAGGCACGGGAAAGAGAAGGAACUUGACCAAGAUGGCAGAACAGGAGCCACCAGGAUUACCUGCUGAUUAUUAAACUGUUCUUUUGGUGAUUUAAUACUGUGGAGGGACGGCCUGAACUGAGCUUGAGACAGGCUCUUCAUAUGUGGUGACAACAUGGCCACAAGCAACUCUAGGCUUGCACCCCAACAAGCAAAAAGCCUUUCUUUCUUAAUGGGUCCAGCAAAAACCCUCAGCCAAAUUCUCAUUGGCUGGAUUUAGUCACAUGGCUUCCUGUGGGGUAGAGGCAGCGGGUGACAGCAGAGAAAGGGGCUCUGGAGUCGGUCGGACCUGGGUUAAAACCUGGCUCUGUCAUUACUAUCACAAGAGUUGGGUGAAGCAGGGAUCCCAGCACCCGAGCUGGCCCGAAUCUCUGAGCAUGAUCCUCUCCUGCCUCGUCCUCUUAGACAUCAGCUCGGGCCGUGCCAGGACCUCGCUCCAGGGACACAGGCGCAGAACCCGCUGUCACCUCAACAAAGCACGAAAGGAACUUCUGUGAUGUGGGUCUGGGCAGCUGCGGGGCACGGUCUCUCAUCCACACGCCCCGGUUCUGGUCUUGGGAUCGCCAAGAACACGUCACUUCCUAGCGGGUGCUCAGGACAUAUUUGCAGAAUGAAUGAGCUCCUUCUGUCAGUGCAAAUUCCUCAGCAAGGAGUCAUAGGCUGCAAAAUCCUGGUAAAGCAGGUAAAAUGGACAUCAUGUCUCCUAGCUUUGCCAUGGAUUGGAAUGUGUGUUCCUGGAGAAGAAUAAGCUUUUUGCCUCCCCCUACAAGCGAAUGAUAAUCACAGCCAUGAUGGGUUGGGAACAUUUAAGCUAUAGGCUUGCUAGUGUGCCACUCGCUAUGCCAUGCACGCGAGGUCACUUGUCUUCCUUUAAACUUCCCAGUGGCCCGAUGAGGUAGUCGUUAUUCCCAUCCCUAUUUGUGGCUGCGGAAUCUGGAGCUCAGAGAAGUUGAUCAUCUUGACCAAGGCCACACAGCUCGUAGGUGGCAGGGCGUGAUUUGACACCCAGGUCUUCACCUCCAUGAAGAAGAGAGGAGCUGGCAGGGGAGAUGGGGAUAGGAUGGAUCUAAAGGACUGGCCUGGGGCUGGGG